AGAGUUUGAUCCUGGCUCAGAUUGAACGCUGGCGGCAUGGCUAAAACAUGCAAGUCGAACGCCUGUAGCAAUACAGGAGUGGCGAAAGGGCGAGGAAUAGAUUCCUACAUACCUUGAGGUCGGGGAUACCCCGGAGAAAUCCGGAUCAAUACCCGAUGUGGUCGAGAGAUCAAAGGUUUACCGCCUCAAGAGUGGGGAAUCUCCUAUCAGCUAGUUGGUGAGGUAAUGGCUCACCAAGGCGAAGACGGGUAGCGGGUGUGAGAGCACGGCCCGCCGCAUCGAGACUGAGACACUGCUCGGACUCCUACGGGAGGCUGCAGUAACGAAUCUUCCGCAAUGCGCGAAAGCGUGACGGGGCAAUGCCGCGUGCAGGAUGAAGCCCUUCGGGGUGUAAACUGCUGUCAGGGUGCAGGAAUGAAAUGACCAUACCCAAAGGAAGCACCGGCUAACUCUGUGCCAGCAGCCGCGGUAAUACAGAGGGUGCGAGCGUUAAUCGGAAUCACUGGGCUUAAAGGGUGCGUAGGCGGAUGCAUAGGCGCUUUGUGAAAUCCCACGGCUCAACCGUGGAAUUGCUUGGCGAACCAUGCGUCUUGAGGUUGGUAGAGGUCACUGGAACGAUAGGUGGAGCGGUGAAAUGCGUAGAUAUCUAUCGGAACGCCAAAGGUGAAGACAGGUGACUGGGCCAAAUCUGACGCUGAGGCACGAAAGCGUGGGGAGCAAACGGGAUUAGAUACCCCGGUAGUCCACGCUGUAAACGAUGCACACUUGGUUGGAGCGGUUUGACUCCGUUCCGGCCGUAGGAAAACUGAUGAGUGUGCCGCCUGGGGAGUACGGUCGCAAGAUUAAAACUCAAAGGAAUUGACGGGGACCCGCACAAGCGGUGGAUGAUGUGGAUUAAUUCGAUGCAACGCGAAAAACCUUACCUACCCUUGACAUGUCACUA
rnacentral:rRNA from 1 species